GUGGGGAAUAUUGGACAAUGGGCGAAAGCCUGAUCCAGCCAUGCCGCGUGUGUGAAGAAGGUCUUCGGAUUGUAAAGCACUUUAAGUUGGGAGGAAGGGUAGUAACCUAAUACGUUGCUACUUUGACGUUACCGACAGAAUAAGCACCGGCUAACUUCGUGCCAGCAGCCGCGGUAAUACGAAGGGUGCAAGCGUUAAUCGGAAUUACUGGGCGUAAAGCGCGCGUAGGUGGUUCAGUAAGUUGGACGUGAAAUCCCCGGGCUAAACCUAGGAACUGCUUGCAAAACUGCUGAGCUAGAGUACGGUAGAGGGUGGUGGAAUUUCCUGUGUAGCGGUGAAAUGCGUAGAUAUAGGAAGGAACACCAGUGGCGAAGGCGACCACCUGGACUGAUACUGACACUGAGGUGCGAAAGCGUGGGGAGCAAACAGGAUUAGAAACCCCUGUAGUCC
rnacentral:rRNA from 1 species